rnacentral:rRNA from 1 species
AGAGUUUGAUCAUGGCUCAGAAUCAACGCUGGCGGCGUGCCUAACACAUGCAAGUCGAACGAGAAAGCCGGUAGCAAUAUCGGUGAGUAAAGUGGCGUACGGGUGAGUAACACGUGGAUAACCUACCUUCGAGUGGGGAAUAACCCUGGGAAACCGGGGCUAAUACCGCAUAACAUCCCGGGACGAUGGUUCUGGGAUUGAAACUCGCAAGAGGCUCAAAGAGGGGUCCGCGGCUGAUUAGCUAGUUGGUGAGGUAACGGCCCACCAAGGCUAUGAUCGGUAGCCGGCCUGAGAGGGCGGACGGCCACACUGGAACUGAAACACGGUCCAGACUCCUACGGGAGGCAGCAGUGGGGAAUUUUGCGCAAUGGGGGAAACCCUGACGCAGCAACGCCGCGUGGACGAUGAAGCUUCUUGGAGUGUAAAGUCCUUUCGGCGGGGACGAAACCGGGCAACCGGUUGACGGUACCUGCAGAAGAAGCCCGGCUAACUCC